ACCUAUCGACAGCACUGAUUUUUUGGCAGGUCGAUUGAUUUUAACUUCAAACUUCAAAAUUGUCAUUAACUAAUCAUUUAACAUACAUCACAAUAUAUUAUAUUGUAAAAAAAUCAUUCGUUAGAUUUUCUUGAUUGUUUCGAAGAGUUCCGCAAAAACCAUUUUCGCGCUGUGAAUUAAUGUGUCACAGAUGAAGUUUAAGACUAACGAGAGUAUGAUCCAUUAGGGUCAACAGCGACUGCGAUUACUUUCUUGAUGGGAUUCAUAAUUUUAUCCCUAACAGAAUCUAAGAUAGUAAUCUUAAUUGUUCUAUUUUAAUAGCCAUGCUUGAAAAGCGACAUAAGAAGACUUUCCACCGAACGCAGUUUCUAUGGUAGACCGACAGUCCAAAUAUUGUUCCUCGGAGCUUAGUUUAGCAGCUGCGUAAGUGACGUCGCGCUGAUGGUAUACAUGUGAAAGCUGCCACAAAGAUCUUUCACCGAGCAUAUAUUGUCUGUGGUAAGCAUAUGAAAAAUGUACGAGUAUUUAAUCACUAUUUACCUCAACUAUUUUAGUUUUCAAGGAAAAACGCUGUUAUUCACUCGCCUACCCAACUUCAUAACUAGUUCAGAAUAUGAUAAUAAAAUGAACCCAUCGAAAUUUUUUCCUGUGAUAUUUUGCGAAGACUUCGUGUAAACAACAGUAGAGCUAUUUGAAUACAAAAAUCCUACAAAACACAUUUAGUGUAGUUAAAUUACGAAAGCUUUCCUGUUUAAAAGAUGAAAAAUAGCCGUGACUAUGAGAAAUAACAUCAAGGUUCGUUCUAACGUUACACACUUCCACUUUUAAAAACUUUUUUUUCGAACUAUUAAAAUUGUUAGGAAAAAACCAGAUACUUAUGAUGGUAACCAACAACCGCACGAUGGAAAACUAAUAACAACAAGAACGCAAAUUACGGUUAGAUAGCCGUAACUUAAAAGGAAAUAAUGUUACCAGCUCUUGCAUAUGUAAUAGUGAUUUUAUACAGCGUCUUCUAGUGAUCAGAUGGUUAAGGUGUUACAAAUUAAGUUUAUGAUAUAAAUUACUAUAAAUGAUAAAAACGAUCGUAAAUGCAACAUGGCCGAUUGUGAAGAGGAGCCAUCAGUAGAUAGUCAGUAAAUGAAUGUUCACGAUUGUGUGGAGAGUUACCCGAUCAUGGCGGCGAUGAUGGACGAUCAUUUGUUGGCCCAUCAUGGCCGAUUGUGAAGAGGAGCCAUAAGGCAGUUAAGGUUCCCGAACUUUCUACGCUAAAGCCACACUGAAAUCGGUGUAGUAAAAUCAUUCAAUCAUUCCUAUCGAAGGAAAUCGCACCAGACUAGGCCGGUUUUGUGAGAGGAAAAGGUACUAAGAGAGCAGGUUCUACGACAAAUAAUUAAUCGAAAAAGCAAGAGAAUUCAACAAGCGCAUUUACGUAUGCUUCGGUCGGUUUCUCUAAAGCAUUCGACUCUGUUAAAUGGCGUAAGCACUGGGAACCCUUAACUGACAUGGGAACAUCAAAACAUCUAGUGCACCUCAUAAAACUAUACAAUAGAAUGUAUAAUAUCACCGAUACACACAUUCAUGCAUAUUGCAUAUAUUGAUACAUACACAUAUAUAUAAUUAAAUAUACAUGUAUUAUAUCACCAAUACUAUUCAAUAUCUACACUCAUCAUGAGAAUUACUCCCGAAGACUACGAACGAUAGCAUUUUCAUUGAAGGACCUUGAAAUCUCUAACCUCCGUUACGCCGAUGACGCCACCUUGUUUGCGACUAGUAUUUCCUUCAUCGAAAAUCUUCUGGCAACGACUAAAACACGGAGUCUCAAAUUCGGCCCCAAUAUAAACAGCAGCAAAACCAAAGUAAUGAAUGUCGACAGAGCCAACAACAGCUCGCCAGAAGUCAGAUGUAUCGCCAACUGCCAUGUCGUAGUCUUAAAUUUACUUCGGUUCCCUCAUAUCCAACGAAUGGAAGUACAAUCAAAUCAGUAAAAAUUUAAAGCAUAAGUACUUGUGGUUGUUAAUAAUAAAAUUAUAGGCUUAUAUAA